GGGGGGGGGGGUUAAAAGCGUUCUUACCAAAAUGAUGCAAAUUAAAAUACACGGAAGCCAGAAAAUGAUAAACAAUCAAAUAAUAAGAUAAGAUAGCAAGGGUAGAUCUAGAAAUAGAAAAUAAGGAGGAAGAGACUUAGAAGAAAGAAGGGAUAAACUAACAAUUAAACUAAAAUUUAAUUACUAGAAUAAAUCCGUGGGAGAAGAGACAUGAACUCAUACAUGGAAAUCCACACAUUGGAUCAAUCCAAGAAAGGUUCGAAGAGAGAAACUAGGGAACAAUCCCCAAAACCUUACCCAACAAGGUAAUUCUUCUAUUAUCCAAAAUCUAGCUCUCUACAAAUGAACUCAUCCUAAUCUAGAUCUAGAUAAGGUAGAGAAAGACAAAAGUACCCGAUAAUGGGCCUAACUAUUAUGCCCUAAAGGGAAAACUUGAAGCCCAGGUAUUUCAAUCAUUGUAAGCAUGGCCUAGGUUCACAUGCUUGCGUCCACGUCAUUAAGAUGGCUCACGUGAUGUUUGUGUCCACGUCAUCAAGGUGGUUCACAUGUACAGUGAUCGUUGGACGGUGGACCAGUUCGUAUCAAAAGGCGACUCCAUUUUCAAGGCUCGAACUUGAGAUCUCUAGUUAAGGAUGAAAGGGUACAGUUAAUUGCUUUUGUCCUUGUAAUGAGAGAUUGGUAUCGCAAGGUAAAGAUACUGUGCUGAUAGGGUAUACUAAAGGAAAACAAUUGUUGUAACUUGCAUAGCUUUAUGUGUAACAAGUCACACUGUGAAAGUAAGAAUAGACAGCAAUCACUUUUAGGACUUGGUUUUUGUAGCUUCUCUCAUUUCCUCUCAUUCUACAUGACAUAAGCUUUCAUCUGGAGGCAUAUCUGGAUGCCAUUCCACUGAGAA
rnacentral:lncRNA from 1 species